AUGGACAUCAACAGAGCUCCGGGGCCUGAUAAUAUUCUUGCUGAAUUUUAUCAGUGCUGCUGGGAGAUAGUCAAACGUGAUAUUAUGAGGCUUUUUGACAGCUUCCACAAAGGCACACUAGAUGUGCAACGCCUUAACUAUGGCAUCAUUACCUUACUAGCUAAAGUCUCGGGGGCUGAUCGUAUACAGCAAUUCCGACCUAUCUGUCUUCUUCGUUGCCCCUACAAGUUGAUCACCAAGGUCAUGGAUAGGAGAGUUUCUAGGUACGCUGACAUUCUUAUUAGCCCCACUCAGAAUGCCUUUGUAAAAGGUAGAAGCAUUAUGGAUGGGGUGCUGGCCCUCCAUGAACUUCUCAACUACAUCCAUGUCAAAAAGAGGGUCGGGGUGAUCCUCAAGCUUGAUUUUGAGAAAGCGUACGACAAGGUCAAUUGGGACUUCCUACCUGAGUGUCAUAAGAUGCGAGGCUUUGAUCCCAAAUGGUGUAGUUGGGUUGAGCAAAUUCUGCGCAAUGGCACAGUCAGCAUC
rnacentral:rRNA from 1 species